UACGAAGGACCCGAGCGUUAUCCGGAUUUAUUGGGUUUAAAGGGUGCGUAGGCGGAUUAGUAAGUCAGUGGUGAAAGCCCGUCGCUUAACGGCGGAACUGCCAUUGAUACUGCUAGUCUUGAGUAUGGUUGAGGUGGGCGGAAUGUGUCAUGUAGCGGUGAAAUGCUUAGAUAUGACACAGAACACCAAUUGCGAAGGCAGCUCGCUAAGCCAUAACUGACGCUGAUGCACGAAAGCGUGGGGAGCAAACAGG
rnacentral:rRNA from 1 species